AAGACUAUACUUUCAGGGAUCAUUUCUAUAGUUUGUUACUAGAGAAGUUUCUCUGAACGUGUAGGGUACCCGAAACCACGAGGAGGAGGCGCAGUGUUCUCUCCUGAGCGUGAAGCCUGCUUUUGGUGUUGCUUAUGCAACUGCCAAUUGCAAUUGAUGAUCGUUCUUCUUCUCCAUUGGAGGAGCAAGAGGGAGAGAACGCAGUCUGAGUGGUU
ensembl:snoRNA